rnacentral:sRNA from 1 species
CAGUGAACCUCUACAGAGGAAACAAAUGCUAGCAAGACAUUCACUGAACAAUGCCAGGGAUACAAGUGCCAUGGAUACUCUACCGCUAAAUGGUAAUUUUAACAACAGCUACUCGCUGCGCAAGGGUGACUAUAAUGACAGCGUGCAAGUUGUGGACUGUGGACUAAGUCUGAAUGAUACUGCUUUUGAGAAAAUGAUCAUUUCAGAAUUAGUGCACAACAACUUACGGGGCAGCAGCAAGACUCACAACCUCGAGCUCACGCUACCAGUCAAACCUGUGAUUGGAGGUAGCAGCAGUGAAGAUGAUGCUAUUGUGGCAGAUGCUUCAUCUUUAAUGCACAGCGACAACCCAGG